CUUAGUUGUGGUAGAUGAUAUGACAAAGCACUACAACAAAAAGCUACAGUACAUGCUUUUCAGGCAGACCUUAAGAAAAGAUUUAUCAUAGGAGGUUGCUGCAGCAUAGGGGAGAGUUACUGAGGAAGGUUUUUGAAUCACUCACAUUAAAGGUUUUUACCACUUGGCUAGCCAAAGCUGUAAUUGACCUCAACUCAUGUUGCUGAUAGGCCUCUUUGAGCAGGAGGACUUGAAGAAACUUGAAGAGACAGAGCAUUGCCUCAGUCUCUGAGCCUAGGCAUGCUGCCUGCAGAGUCAACCUCACGCUCCCACCGUGCAGAAGCUGCUAAAAGGGAUCCUGCAGCCCAGAAUGAUGAUGGAACCUGAUUGCCAUACAGGACCUGACAAAUGGAAGAACC
rnacentral:lncRNA from 1 species